GCGAGUGUAGUUCAAUGGUAGAACCCCAGCCUUCCAAGCUGGUGAUGUGGGUUCGAUCCCCAUCACUCGCUCUA
rnacentral:tRNA from 1 species